AUAUUUUAAGUUCCGUUAAAGAGUGUGUAGGUGGGGUCACAAUUGAGCAUUUAAAAAUGUACGUGAAAGUAACGCAAUAGUUACUUUCUAAAAUAACCAGCUACUUUCAUA